AGGCUGGUUAGCGGGCCGCGCUGCGCUCUGUCUUGCAGCUCGCCUGAGGUGGAGAGUUCGCAGAGGCCAGCAGCAGCAGUGCUCGGCACGCUAUCUACAAAGCGCACUACCAACAACCGCUACCAUGGCAGACAUGAGCUACGGGCGCCCUCCGCCUGACGUGGAGGGCAUGACUUCCCUCAAAGUGGACAACCUGACGUACCGCACGUCCCCGGAGACCCUGCGCCGCGUCUUUGAGAAGUACGGCCGGGUGGGCGACGUGUACAUCCCGCGGGACCGCUACACCAAGGAAAGCCGCGGCUUCGCCUUCGUCCGCUUCCACGACAAGCGCGACGCCGAGGACGCGAUGGACGCCAUGGACGGAGCCGUGCUGGACGGCCGGGAGCUGCGGGUGCAGAUGGCGCGCUACGGCCGCCCGCCCGAUUCCCACCACAGCCGCCGAGGCCCACCACCCCGGAGGUACGGAGACUACGGCGGCCGCCGCAGCAGCAGGAGCCCAAGGCGAAGAAGACGCAGUCGGUCCAGAAGCAAGAGCCGAUCGAGGUCACGUAGCCGAUCACGUUACAGUCGCUCCAAGUCCCGGUCCCGCACCAGAUCCCGUUCCAGUUCCAAGUCUCGCUCUGCCCGGAGAUCAAAGUCCAAGUCUUCCACUGUGUCCAGAUCCCGCUCUCGCUCCCGGUCUCGCUCUAGAUCUAAGACGACGCCUCCGCCAAAGAACUCCUCCAAAUCAAGAUCAAGAUCACCGACUCCGCCCCCUAAAACUCCAGAGGAAGAGCCAUCUACUUAGACUGGAGGUAAUGUGUGCCUGGAGCAUGUGCUGUCUGGGGUCCGGGGGGGUUUGUCGUGCGGUCUAGUUAGCUAUACUGCAGCCGCUGCUAUCCGGACAAGGUUUGUAUGUUUACCAGGUCUUGCUGUAGGUUGCUGGGGAUGUCUGGGUUUUAUACUGUAUCCAUCUGAUUGUUUAAACCAAUAUCUGCAUUUUCCUCUCAAAGCUGCGGGCUCCAGUUGCUUAAGGAGUAGUGAGCUGUAUUGCAGAUAUUAAGUGGUUUUUCCUGAUCCUCCAGAGAGCAGUUUCUGUGGGCGUGUAAUGGAGCAGAGUCGUCUUAAAGGCACCCGCCCCGCUGGACCUGUCUGGGAUGAUAACUGUACAGUAAAUGUACAGCCCUUGGAAUUGUACAUGGAGCAAGCAAACAGCCUUCCGAAAAGGUGGUUAUCUGUAUGAUUUGUUUUUCUAUACUUUUACCAGUUUAAUUUGCGCCUGAUGUGGCAGACUCUUAUUUUAUGUGCCAUUUUUGUUGCUAUUCCAAUUUCUUGUAAUUUAGUGAACGACAACAGAUUUCAUUGUUCUCUUGGAUGCUCGAGGUAAAACGUUGCUGUUUAAUACAUUGUCUUUCGGCCGCAGGCUGUCAGUCAAUGCCUCCGCUUUGGAUACAAAAGCUUCAUUUAAUAAAUGUCAGACAUUUUCAUGUAUGUAACUGCAUUUUAAUGGGAGGUACUGAAAUGCAAAUGUAUUUAGUAUGAGAUGCUGUUGUAAGGGCGUGUUUUUAUUUGACCACAUCUCUAAUCUUUUCUCUUGUGUAUUUUUGUGCACUAGGCGCAGUUGUGUAGCAGUUGAGUAUUGCUGGUUAGCUGUUAAGGUGGCGUGUUGCAGUGCAGAGUGCUUGGCUGUUUCCCGUUUUCUCCUGAUUGCUCCUGUGUAACGCAGAAACACAAAUGGCUGUCCAGUUUGUUAGCUUUCCUGACAACUGCACGUCCAGUCGCCCGGGCCUUGCAUAAAAUAACGGAGCAUACAGUGAGCACCUCUAACUGAUGAUAAACACCUUCUUUUACAGAACCUUGUAAAUCCGAUGUCAUGCAGGUGUCAUUCCUUUUGUAUGUACUGAUAUCUGGCUCUGUAACAUUCUGUACUAUAACCACUCUUUAUGUAGUUAAUAAAAAGUUCUUUAUAAAACUCUUG